CGGUCUCCAAGUGCGGACCUCUGCAAAUGGAAAUGAACCUUAAGUACUUUCCCCAAAUGCUCUGCCGGGCAUCCUUCCUUGGUCGCAUGCCUAACAAUGUGAUAGCCCCAACCGACGACGUGUAUUCAAUUAAGUCGGGAGUCGCGAGUCGCACGUUGCAAGUCCGAGUCGAAGUCGCAGUCGCAGUCGCAGUCGCAGUCGAAAUGGCAACAGUGUUAGCUCGUUUGAUAAACGCAACUCGUAAAUCAUCGGCGAGGGCUGAGAGAUCCCCCUUGAAGUACCGCUUUGGCUGAUGUUGGCCACGUUUUCGUAGGCAGGUGCGGAAAAUUACUUUUUAUAUGCUCCCUUUUAGUGGUUUAUUAUGACAAAAACAAACGCGAGGCCAAAUUUGAGCGCACAUGCGAACGGGCGGGACGGACGGCACAUGCGCGACGUCCAAGCCAAGAAGUGUUCGCCUCUCUCACUCUCUCGCUCACAGUGCACGGGGUAGGGCCGAUAAAGACACAGACAGAAAGCGCUAUAAGCGCUAUAAACAUCAUAAAACAGCUAUAAAGAAGCCAAAACGAACAGAGAGAGAGAGAGAGAAGAAAACAAACAACCGCUAGCUGCACAACAUAAAUCAUCAAAUUGUUAGGAAGAUCCAUUAUAGCCCAUUACCAACGCCAGCUAACAGCCAACAGCCAACAGCUAACAGGCAACAGCCUACACCUGAGCUAUCGUCAUUAUCAUCAGCAUUGUCAUCAUCAUUCGCCAUCAGCAUUAUUAAAAUGCCGUUUUGCUUAAUUUUAUUUUAUUGUUUUUAAGAAAAAUUCAACCACAAAUACCAAAGGUGCUCAGCCAAAGAGUCUCAACUACGAAACACCAUUCCACUAAUCGGGUGGUCGCGCGGACACACAUACAGAAGACGAAGCAGAAGAAGAAGAAGAGGCAGCAGCAGCAGCAGCAGCAGCAGUAGCUGGGCCCAAAGCGACAUCAAAUACUCUAACAAGACGCUAACGAACACAAUGAGUAGCAGGCGAAUUCAAAUUUAUGAAUGUGAAUGAGAUACGCCAAAGAUACGAGAUACCAGGUUCGACUUCCACUUUGACUGCGAGACAGAGUCGCCUGAGUCGCCUGAGUCGCUGGAGUCCGUCCACUCCCAGAGCCGUAGCUGACCGACCGGGUGUGCACGUCCGUUUGUCGAGCGGUUCGCUUAGCGUUUCCUUGGAAGUGGAAAUGAAUUUGGAGGCGUUGAUAAUGGAGGUGGAUGAUAAAGCUAAUGCGUGUCAUGCCGGGCUACUGUUCAGCGGGCGAGCACACUCACAGUUUAUGAACAAUGAAAAUAUUAAUAAGCCUAUUAAUGAUCUGCUCGAAACACGGAAAUACAUACCGCCGCAUAAGGCGUUGCUGCAUGCACAUAUAUGUCUGCAUAUUAUACCAAAAACAAUUUAAUGAA